rnacentral:rRNA from 1 species
GCGGCAUGCCUAACACAUGCAAGUCGAACGCGAAAGUACCUUCGGGUGCGAGUAGAGUGGCGGACGGGUGAGUAACGCGUGAGUAACCUACCCUAUACACAAGGAUAGCCAUUGGAAACGAUGAUUAAUACUUGAUAAGACUACAGAGCCGCAUGGUUCAGUGGUAAAAGCUCCGGCGGUAUAGGAUGGACUCGCGUCUGAUUAGCUAGUUGGUAAGGUAAUGGCUUACCAAGGCGACGAUCAGUAGCCGACCUGAGAGGGUGAUC